GUUACUAUUCCAUCCAGUUCUACCCAGUUAUCAGUUACUAUUCCAUCCAGGUCUACCCAGAUAUCAGUUACUAUUCCAUCCAGGUCUACCCAGUUAUCAGUUACUAUUCCAUCCAGUUCCACCCAGAUAUCAGUUACUAUUCCAUCCAGUUCUACCCAGAUAUCAGUUACUAUUCCAUCCAGGUCUACCCAGAUAUCAGUUACUAUUCCAUCCAGGUCUACCCAGAUAUCAGUUACUAUUCCAUCCAGGUCUACCCAGUUAUCAGUUACUAUUCCAUCCAG